rnacentral:rRNA from 1 species
ACGCUUCUUUCCUCCCGAGUGCUUGCACUCAAUUGGAAAGAGGAGUGGCGGACGGGUGAGUAACACGUGGGUAACCUACCCAUCAGAGGGGGAUAACACUUGGAAACAGGUGCUAAUACCGCAUAACAGUUUAUGCCGCAUGGCAUAAGAGUGAAAGGCGCUUUCGGGUGUCGCUGAUGGAUGGACCCGCGGUGCAUUAGCUAGUUGGUGAGGUAACGGCUCACCAAGGCCACGAUGCAUAGCCGACCUGAGAGGGUGAUCGGCCACACUGGGACUGAGACACGGCCCAGACUCCUACGGGAGGCAGCAGUAGGGAAUCUUCGGCAAUGGACGAAAGUCUGACCGAGCAACGCCGCGUGAGUGAAGAAGGUUUUCGGAUCGUAAAACUCUGUUGUUAGAGAAGAACAAGGACGUUAGUAACUGAACGUCCCCUGACGGUAUCUAACCAGAAAGCCACGGCUAACUACGUGCCAGCAGCCGCGGUAAUACGUAGGUGGCAAGCGUUGUCCGGAUUUAUUGGGCGUAAAGCGAGCGCAGGCGGUUUCUUAAGUCUGAUGUGAAAGCCCCCGGCUCAACCGGGGAGGGUCAUUGGAAACUGGGAGACUUGAGUGCAGAAGAGGAGAGUGGAAUUCCAUGUGUAGCGGUGAAAUGCGUAGAUAUAUGGAGGAACACCAGUGGCGAAGGCGGCUCUCUGGUCUGUAACUGACGCUGAGGCUCGAAA